CCCAAAAAAAGAACAGUCUCAGUUCGGAUUGAAGGCUGAAAUUCGCCUUCCAUGAAGCCGGAAUUGCUAGUAAUGGCAGGUCAGCAUACUGCCGUGAAUACGUUCCCGGGCCUUGUACACACCGCCCGUCACACCAUGAGAGUUGGGGAUACCCGAAGCCUGUGAGCUAACUUUUAGAGGCAGCAGUCGAAGGUAGAAUCAAUGAUUGGGGUGAAGUCGUAACAAGGUAAC
rnacentral:rRNA from 1 species